AUGGGAAACCCUGUUGAUGCACCUAAACCCUAUCAAUGGAUAUGGAAAUCAUGCUCUCUACCAAAGCAGAAAUUCUUCUUCUGGAUCUUGUUACAAGACAGAUUAAACACUAGAGAUCUACUAAAAAGGAAGAAUUUCUACAUUGAGACUAGUAAGUGUGAAUUAUGUGAUGAUGAACCUAAUGAACAUUUAAUGCAUCUGUUUUUUAGCUGUGAUUUCAGUCAAAACUUCUGGAUGAACAUUGGCUACCAAUGGAACACUGAUCAUAACCUCAUAGAAAUGCUCCUGGAGGGAAGGAAGCAAGAUACACAUGGAUGCUUUAAAGAAUGUCUGAUUGCUGGAUGCUGGAGUCUAUGGAAACACAGAAAUAGCAUAAUUUUUGACAACAAGGUCAAAAAUAUGACACUCUGUAUUGCCACUUUCAAGGAGCACAUUUGCAUGAUUAUAAAGAAGGCAAAACUAGGAUUGAAAGAGGGCAUGCAAAGCUGGCUAGAUCAUUUGUAG
rnacentral:rRNA from 1 species